CAUGUUUCCAUCUGUGAGUUUGAUCAAAGCAACUUUAUCUGCGAAAUUUUGAAGAAUCAGCUUCAUCUCCACUUGGCAGCAUGUGGUAAAUGAAGGUAUUUCUGCAUUGCUACUAACCAACUAUGUGAUUUGGGGAAAGCUACCUAACUCUCAAAGAUUAUUUUCCCAUCUGCCAAAAUGACCAUGCUUUAGCAAUGGACUUCUAAGACCUUUCCCAAAGUUAUAACUAUACUCUCAUGAAUUGAUUAAACAUUUGAAGAAAAAGGAAGUUGCCAAGAAAGACCCACCCCAGACCUGAGUUGCUUAACAUCUGAGUGUUCUGAGAAUGGAGGCUGAGUGUGAAACCUAUGAAUGAGGAUCAAGAGACAGCGCAGUCAGUUAGGGCAUAUUAUUGAGUUUCCAUAAAGCCUUAAACAUCACUGGGCCAAGGAAUGCCUCUGAUUCCUUAGGGAAGGACUAAAACAACUUCAGGAGCAAAGGGAACCAGGUUCUUUCUGUUCCUCAACUACAGACCUUUACUGGAUCAGACUACAACAGCAGGUCUUCCCACUGCUAAGAUCUGAACUCAGCCACCCCAGGGGAGUCACAGAAGGAGACUUCCAGGUGCCCCAGGAGGUAACUUGGCUUCGAGGAUCAAACUCACGCACUUCUGUCUUUCUUUCCCUCUGGACUCUUGUCAAAGACUAGACUCCAUCAGUGAGGCUGAAAUGUACAUAAAAAUAUGAUUUAUGCUAUUGUAAGACUGGUCAGGCUGGAGAGGCCUCUGACUCUAAAUGGGGGUCCUAGGAGCUACUUGCUGUCCAUAUCACAGUUAUUUGACAACAGGGAAUCAAGUGAUGGGCUAGAUUUCUUCCUCAAGGCUUUCCCUGUGCUCACUGUAGAAUCCCUAAAGAGUGAGUGGCAUAGAUGGUCCACCCUGUGCCCUGCCAAUUUGCUUCUGCUCAGAGAGGUCCAUGCCUCUCAAAUCAUUUUGCAUGAAGACCAACUUCCUCUGCUUAGCCAUCGCCAAUUUCAGUCAUAGGCAAGUCUUCCACAGACUCUCCACAGUUUCCUGGCUUGAUGGAUUUAGACUUAAAAAACAUAACAGUAUUUAUUCAUGUAAUAAGUAGACUUUUAUUUCUGCAAAGAAUGAAAACAUAUAGUAUAUACUGUUUUAUAAGGUAAUUUAAAAUUUAAUAAUAUAUUGUAAUCAUUUCUUUAUGCCAAUAAAUAUGGAACUCUGGCGUCAAUGUCUUCUCUUCCAUCCUCCACUAUAACUUCAUUCUUGUUCAGGGAGUAUGGUCCUCCAAAUAUUUGAAAAAGUAAAUUCUGCCGUUGGCCCCUUUACUCUCUUCCUGUCUUUGUUCAGUAAUGAACCAUCUAGUACUCCAUCUUCUCAACCAAGCACUGGUGAUGAGGUUUCAUGCAUUUAGGAAAAGUGCAUGGAUUCUUCUGAUGAGAACAACAGAUGCCCAUCUCUUCCCAGAAAUCUAGAACCAAUAGUGGGGACUUAUCAAAAACAAUCAGAGAAGCUGAAUUUGUAUGUUCUCUGUACUUAUUAAACAGAA
rnacentral:lncRNA from 1 species